CCAAACCUGUGCCUUUUGGAGGGAAUAUAUUGACGGAACGCCAGCCUACCUUUCCAUAACAUCAGGGACUCAUCAAUGCAUAGUUCUUUGUCAUGUGCGACGUGAAGACAGGAUAUGUCCUGGAUAUUAUAGUGUACACAGGGUCUACCACUGACAUCAAACAUUAUGAGGGGCUUGGGGUGUCUGGGUCCGUGGUGAUGACCAUGCUGGCUCCUCAUCUCGGCAAGGGACACACUUUGUACGUGGACAAUUGGUACAGCAGACCCACACUCUUCCAGCAUCUGCUCUCCAACAGCACAGGGGCCUGUGGCACAGUCAGGUCGAACAGGACGGGGAUGCCGGCAUUCGGAUGCAGGAAGAUGCAGAGAGGGGAGGUGGAGUUCCAGGAGAACGGUCAACAGCUGGCAGUAUAGUGGCAUGACAAAAGAGACGUCCAUGUCCUCUCCACUGUCCAUACAGCAACCAUGUCGGCCACAGGGAAGGUGGACCACCUGACGGGAGAGAGAAAGAUAAAACCAGAUUGUGUGCUAGACUAUAACCUCAAAAUGGGGGCCGUGGAUAAGGCGGACAUGAUAAACAGCUUUGUGGAAUGCACUCGGAAAACGACCAAGUGGUAUAAGAAGAUAUUUUUCCAGCUGAUCGACACUGCUGUCCUCAACGGCAGCAUAGUUCACCUCCAACUAACAGGUGAGAUGAUUACUGAACAAGGUAUUUUUGUAAUUGGAUGUACAGUUCACAUACAAAUCCAUUAUGCAAUUACAGUGACAAUAUCUCACCAACCUACCCACUGCCUCAUCAUCCUCUAACUUUCCUCAUCCUCCCCACUCCCUCAUAGGUAAAGUAAUUACCUACCAAAAAUACAGAGAGAACCUCAUGAGAGAGCUGUUGGAGGAGCACCACACCCCUCGGCGCCCCUCCACUGGGGGUCGCCCUGCUUUAGACAAUCCCCUACGCCUCACUGCACGGCAUUUUCCCUGCAAAGUCCCUCAAACUGCUGCUCAAGGUAGUCGCACACGGAGGCACUGCAAAGUCUGCCUGUCUGGCGCCAGGAGAAGUAAGCAGAGGAAGAUGACAAAAUACAUGUGUUUAGCUUGUGAUACACCUCUAUGUAUUUCACCAUGCUUUGAGGAGUAUCACAUGCUCAAGCAUUAUUGAGCACAUCUGCAGCAAUAAGUGACUGACUGACCUGACAGGUGACUUGACAGGUGACCUGCCAUGAUACUAUGCCUUUAGAGGUGGGGGUGGAAAUGCAGUUGUUGUUCAGUCACUGCAUGAAUAUUAAAUAUGGGUUAUGCAUAUUCAAUUUUUUGUCCUCUAGUAAAACAAGUUGUUGUUGAACCAACUACCAAUACUUCAAUAAAAUAGACGACUAUUACAUAUUGGCCUAUGUGUUUUCUUGCUGUGUUUCCAUCCAGUAAAACUGUUAAGGAGAGAACGUUAGCAUACAAAAGCUGUCCUCAAUCUUCAGCUCGAAAGAUGUCCAGUUAUGAUAUUGGCAAAUACUGUUUUUGGUUUCUGAAAGUACAGAAUAAAGAGGAAUUAUUAAUUAGAAUACAAUAUAAGGAUAUAGCAAUAAAACAAUAUUACAAAUAACAUAAUAAACACAGCUAUAAAAAUAGUUUAUUGCAUUGACAAAAUCACAGAUUUGAGUUAUAACAGUAAGAAACUAACUUUUGAGCUCCACAAGGGGGCAAGGCAGGGCAGAACAGAGCCAUGCUGAAUAGACCAAAUAAACAAACCAUGGUCAUAUGUUUUAUUUUAUUUAACUAGGCAAGUCAUUUAACAGCAAAUUAUUAUUUACCUAUGAUGGCCUACACCGGCCAAACUCGGACAACGCUGGGCCAAUUGUGCGCUGCCCUAUGCGACUCCCAAUCACAGCCAGUUGUGAUACAGCCUGGAUUUGAACCAGGGUGUCUGUAGUGAUGCCUCUAGCACUGAGAUGCAGUGCCUUUGAGCGCUGCGCCACUAGGGAGUCAUAAGGCCAUGUAGCUUCAAAAUACAACACAAGCUAAUACUUCUCCGACGCAACUAGCAUUGUUUUACAGAGCUAAUAGAAGAAUGUAGCUAGCUACCUAAGCACGAUUGAAUAUAACACCAUGAAGGUGGGCCUCCCUGUGGCUCAAUUGGUAGAGCAUGGUGUUUGCAAUGGUGUUUGCAACGCCAGGGUUGUGGGUUCGAUUCCCACAGGGGGCCAGUACGGAAGAAAAAAAAACGUAUGAAAUGUAUUCAUUCACUACUGUAAGUCGCUCUGGAUAAGAGCGUCUGCUAAAUGACUAAAAUGAAAAGUUAUAAAAUGAGUAACGUCCCCUCGCUUAUAAGAAGUAUACAUUAUUCUCGCUACGGCAUACAGAAACUAUUAUAACGUAAUAAGGCACUUACUUAGAAACGCAGCAUGGAUUUGAACCAGGGAGUCUGUAGUGACGUCUCUAGCACCGUGCUGUGCCUUUGACCCCGUGUUGUGCCUUUGACCGCUGCGCCACUAGGGAGUCAUAAGGCCAUGUAGCUUCAAAAUACAACACAAGAUAAUACUUCUCUGAUGCAAUUAGCAUUGUUUUACAGAGCUGAUAGAAAAAUGUAGCUAGCUACCUAAGCACGAUUGAAUAUAAUAACAUAAAGGUUAUAAAAUGAGUAACGUUACCUCACGUGUCCGCGGUUAUAAAGAAUAUACACAAAUCUAUUAUGCUCCAUACAUACAGUACGCUACAAUAGAAACGACAUACAUAAACUAUUACAAUGUAAUAAUGCACUUACUUUGAUAGAAACGCACACAUUUCCAAAGUUAUUAUUAGUAACGAAAACAAUGAGGGCAACAGAUGGAAAAUGUGAACACGUGUGCAGAUCCUGUUCUGACGGGAGAUUAGCAAAUGUCUGCAGACUUGAACUGCACAAACAAUUGGAAAGUGCUUGGGGAAUUUUGUCCGGGUCAGAAAUGUCCCAAAAAUAAAAUUGUCCGCAAAAGUAAAAAUGACUAUUUUUAUGUGAAUGAAUGAGGAGGCGGAACACACCUAAAUUCAAACUGUUCUUAGAAAAUAAAAACUUGUUAGAAAAUCAUUUGAAAUUGAAGUUGAAACAGCCUAUAAAUAAAAACAGUCUGCGUGCUUUGGUUUGAGGGCAGCGCGGAUUAAAUGCAC
rnacentral:tRNA from 1 species